GAUGAAGAACGUAGCGAAAUGCGAUAAUUAAUGUGAAUUGCAGAAUUCCGUGAAUCAUCGAGUCUUUGAACGCACAUUGCACCUCAUGGCAUUCCGUGAGGCAUGCCCAUCUCAGCGUUAGAAAAUAUUCUCAAAUUUUAGUUUUGUGCUAAAAUUUGGAUCAUGUCAAGGAAGCUAUUACUAUUAUUGUGAUCGCUCUUUGGAAAUUGAUAGGUCUUUGAGUUGCUACUCAUAGAACGUGAUGAAUCUUUCUUCGUUCUAUUGUAAUUCACUCUGUUAGUCCUAAAACUUGUAUGCCUGUGGCAUAUCUUGUAAUUUGACCUGAGAUUGGGUAGGGAUACCCGCUGAACUUAAGCAUAUCAAUAAGCGGAGGA
rnacentral:misc_RNA from 1 species